rnacentral:rRNA from 1 species
CACAAGUAAGACAAGUGUUAUUCAUCAUUAUUAGGUUUAAAGCGUACCUAGACGGCAUUUUACACCGAUGGAAAGGUUAAUUUUUUGCUGGAGUUUAAUAGGAGAGGUAAAUAUUAGGACUAUUGGUGUAGAGAUGAAAUUCUUUGAUACUAAUAGAAUGUAUAACGACGAAGGUAACCCUCUAUAUAAAAACUGACGUUUGAGGAACGAAAGGCUUGGGGGAGCAAAUAGG